rnacentral:rRNA from 1 species
UGGGGAAUAUUGGACAAUGGGGGGAACCCUGAUCCAGCCAUGCCGCGUGUGUGAAGAAGGCCUUAUGGUUGUAAAGCACUUUAAGCGAGGAGGAGGGUACUGGUAUUAAUACUACCAGGUACUGGACGUUACUCGCAGAAUAAGCACCGGCUAACUCUGUGCCAGCAGCCGCGGUAAUACAGUGGGUGCGAGCGUUAAUCGGAUUUACUGGGCGUAAAGCGUGCGUAGGCGGCUAAUUGAGUCGGAUGUGAAAUCCCCGAGCUUAACUUGGGAAUUGCAUUCGAUACUGGUUAGCUAGAGUGUGGGAGAGGAUGGUAGAAUUCCAGGUGUAGCGGUGAAAUGCGUAGAGAUCUGGAGGAAUACCGAUGGCGAAGGCAGCCAUCUAGCCUAACACUGACAAUGAAGUACGAAAGCAUGGGGAGCAAACAGG